CCCCCUCACCUGACAGGUGCAGUGGCCUGGCCAGCCAGCCCGCCCAGGAUGGAAGUGACAGAAGCCUUAUUAGCAUCUCAAUUAAAGGUCCUGUAUGGUUACCAAAUAUCUUCUAGGAGGCUCUGAAAUGUUCUAGGGCUUGAUGAAAUCAAUAUAAUGUCAUCUGCAAAAAAGAUCAUCUGAAGGACUUGAUCUUCAACAGGGAAACCCUCUUCAACUUGGACUCUAUACUGAAUGUUUUCCAUCAUAUUGGCAAAUACAUUUGUCUCUGUAUACUCUAGCAGUGGCCUGAGGAUGAAGCGCCCAGAACUGCAAAAGAUGUCUUCCUUCUCAUCUACAACCAAAGCCUUAGAUAAUUAUGCCCCAACACACUCCACUUCUCUUUCUAAAGUAUGACCCUGUGCAUCCAGGAUAAUAAAUAAGAGGGCAGUACGCAUGGAAGGGGAAGAUGCUCGAGUGACUAGAUUUGUCAGUGCUGCACCAUAGAGAGACACCCCAUGAAUCACAGGAGCUACUUGGAAGGACUUGGAGAUAAACCUGGCAUCCCAAGACUCAGACAUCCCAGUUCCAAUCUUUGCUCACUCCAUCAUUUGCCUACCUACCACUUCUAUACAAUCCUCCUUUCCCUUAUCUCCUCCUUUAGAAGUAUGUAAUAGGCUGUUGAUACUCCAGUUGAGAACAUAGUGAAAAAGCCUCCAGACUUCUGAUUAAGAGGACCUAACCAACAGGAUGACCCUGGCCAAGCCACUUUAUCUGUCCACUGACAGAGCUCUUCAGGAUGAGUACUCCCAUCACCAACGCAGAUUGAAACCACUCUGUGCCUUCUCAUCCAGUAUGAUUCUUGCCCAUGAAGACUUUUCCAACACCAUGGAGGCUCUUCUCUGGGUGUUUUAUUAUUUUGUGACUCUGUGACCAAUCUAUCUUUUUUUUUCUGAUCACAUAUGUCCUUUCACUUAUCACCAACCUCUUUAUGGCUUCUGGUUUCAUUUGAGGGAAAAUGGCACAACGUGGAUGUUGUUCAUUUCCUCUAGCAGACUAUCAAUUCAUUGGUGGUUGGAUAUUUUGAAUAACAACCAGGGGUUUGCAAAGAAAUGAUUGUUUAAUUUUCAGUGUGAGCAUUUACCUGGAAAGGGUCGAUGGGUGGUGCAGUCUGUAUGACCCUGGGCAAGUCACUUAACCCUGUUUGCCUCAGUUUUCUCAUCUGUAAAAUGA